rnacentral:lncRNA from 1 species
GUCUCAUUCAAAAGAACUCUUAAAAUUAUAUAUUAAACUCUAUUACCGAUUUGUCAUAUCUUGCUUAGUUCUCGAAAUAUUUAGACCGAAAUUAAUGAGCUUUCCGCCAUCUUGGAAAAAUGCUUUACCUCAUUAACUAUGGUUUUGAUAACGUCAGGAGUUGGGUUAACCAUAUAAAACUACUCUAAAAUGACCGAGUAACAAUUCAAAAUUGUUUGAAAUGUUUUUAAUCAUUUCUAAAUUUCAGACAGCAACCAGAAAUGAAGUUUUGGACCCAUAUUGAUCGCUUACUCUCAAGAUAAAAAAUUAGCGUGACCCCUCUCUUGACGUAACAUGCAUAUCCUCAAUAAUCCAAGAUGGCGAACAGCUCACUUUUUCAGUCGAAAUAUUUUGAAAACUAAGCAAGAUAUAAACAAUCUGUAAUAGAGUUUAAUAUAUAGUUUUAAGAGUUCUUUCAAAUGAACUAAACUAAUUUUUUAU